rnacentral:rRNA from 1 species
GACGAACGCUGGCGGCGUGCCUAAUACAUGCAAGUCGAGCGAAGCGGCGGAUGGGUGAGUAACGCGUGGGUAACCUGCCCUUAAGUCUGGGAUACCAUUUGGAAACAGAUGCUAAUACCGGAUACUAAAGGAUGGACCUGCGAUGCAUUAGCUAGUUGGUAAGGUAACGGCUUACCAAGGCGAUGAUGCAAAGCGGGUUGGGGAGACUGAUGGGCAACAUGGGGACGGAGAAACGGCACAAACUCUUACGGGAGGAAGCAGAGGGGAAUCUGCCACAAUGGACGAAAGUCUGAUGGAGCAACGCCGCGUGAGUGAAGAAGGUUUGCGGAUGGUAAAGCUCUGUUGUUGGUGAAGCGGUAAUCAACCAGAAAGUCACGGCUAACUACGUGCCAGCAGCCGCGGUAAUUC